rnacentral:misc_RNA from 1 species
GAUGAAGAACGCAGCGAAACGCGAUAAGUAAUGUGAAUUGCAGAAUUUAGUGAAUCAUCGAAUCUUUGAACGCACAUUGCGCCCCCUGGCAUUCCGGGGGGCAUGCCUGUCCGAGCGUCAUUGCUGCCCUUCAAGCCCGGCUUGUGUGUUGGGUCGUCGUCCCCCCCGGGGGACGGGCCCGAAAGGCAGCGGCGGCACCGCGUCCGGUCCUCGAGCGUAUGGGGCUUUGUCACCCGCUCGAUUAGGGCCGGCCGGGCGCCAGCCGGCGUCUCCAACCUUCUAUUUUACCAGGUUGACCUCGGAUCAGGUAGGGAUACCCGCUGAACUUAAGCAUAUCAAUAAGCGGAGGA